rnacentral:lncRNA from 1 species
UGUGUAGGUAGGCUAUGGUCUCAUGUCCCUUUUAAGACGCUGUCCUACGUCAGAGACGUGACUCCACCCCAUCCAGUCUGUAACAAAGAGGGAAAGACAGGUGAGGAGAUGGAGGACGGAGAGAAAGUUGGAGCGGCUGAAGUAGACGAAGUUAAUGUGGGAGGGGGUGAGCAGCUUGUGGAGUAGUUAUCGUCUAUUUAUCGUUAUCGAGGUGAACUGAUCAAUAUAUCCUGAUAUUGAUUUGAGGCCAUGUUGCCCAGCCCUAG